GCUUGAUGCCGCGUGAGUGAAGAAGGCCCUUUGGGUUGUAAAGCUCUUUUGUAGGGGAAGAUAAUGACUGUACCCUAAGAAUAAGGUCCGGCUAACUUCGUGCCAGCAGCCGCGGUAAUACGAAGGGACCUAGCGUAGUUCGGAAUUACUGGGCGUAAAGCGCGCGUAGGCCGUUGAGUUAGUUAGUUGUGAAAUCCCAAAGCUUAACUUUGGAACUGCAAUUAAAACUGCUCGACUAGAGUUUGAUAGAGGAAAGCGGAAUACAUAGUGUAGAGGUGAAAUUCGUAGAUAUUAUGUAGAACACCAGUUGCGAAGGCGGCUUUCUGGGUCAACACUGACGCUGAGGCGCGAAAGUAUGGGUAGCAAAGAGGAUUAGAUACCCUCGUAGUCCAUACCUUAAACGAUGAUUGCUAGAUGUUGGAAAUUUAUUUUCAGUAUCGCAGCUAACGCAUUAAGCAAUCCGCCUGGGGAGUACGACCGCAAGGUUAAAACUCAAAUGAAUUGACGGGGACCCGCACAAGCGGUGGAGCAUGUGGUUUAAUUCGAAGAUACGCGCAGAACCUUACCAAGCCUUGACAUGUCUGUCCGCGAGUUUAGGAAACUAGACCUUUCGGUUCGGGCGGACAGAACACAGGUGCUGCUUGGGUGUCGUCAGCUCGUGUCGUG
rnacentral:rRNA from 1 species